rnacentral:misc_RNA from 1 species
CCAAACGUAUAUGCAGACAACUUUUCACGCGGAAGGGCAGUUCAAGAUCAAAGGCGCCGCUUGUUUCACCUCGCGUACCUUGCCGUGACAAUUGUGAUAAAUAUUUUCAUUGCAAAACAGUAAGGAUGGUGUGGCCGACGAUUUACGAUGGAAAAACUGAGGCGGGGUCUCCAAACAAGCUCGGUCAGCAGCUGGCGGCUGCCGACGUCGGCUCACACCUGCAGCACAUCUGUGCUCUGGAUAUCGACUCUAAGGCCUCCUAUGUGCGCCUGUCCGGAAUCAUCUGUACUAUUGGGCCGGCCUCCCGUGAUGUCUCCAUGCUGGAAAAGAUGAUGGAGACUGGCAUGAACGUGGCCCGCAUGAACUUCUCUCACGGCUCCCACGAGUACCACGCGGAAACCAUCGCCAACUGCAGACAAGCCGAGAAGAACUACAGCGAGAAAAUCGGCUUCCCAUUCUCGCUCGCUAUCGCGCUUGAUACCAAGGGACCUGAGAUCAGAACUGGACUUUUGGAGGGUGGCGGCUCAGCCGAAGUAGAACUAAAGAAAGGCGAGACCAUCAAGCUCUCCAUCGACCCCGCCCUCGCCGAGAAGGGCAACGCCAGUGCCGUGUUCAUCGACUACAAGAAUAUCAUCAACGUCGUCAAGCCUGGCAACCGCAUCUUCAUCGAUGAUGGCCUCAUCUCUGUCAUCUGCCAGUCCGUAGCUGCUGAUGGACUGGUCUGCAGUAUUGAGAAUGGAGGUAUGCUGGGCUCGAGGAAGGGAGUGAACCUGCCCGGCCUCCCCGUGGACCUGCCCGCCGUGUCCGAGAAGGACAAGUCGGACCUCCUCUUCGGCGUAGAACAAGGCGUCGAUAUGAUCUUCGCCUCUUUCAUCCGCAACGGUGCUGCCCUGGCCGAGAUCCGAGGCAUCCUGGGCGACAAGGGCAAGAACAUCAAGAUCAUCUCCAAGAUCGAGAACCACCAGGGCAUGGUCAACCUCGACGAGAUCAUCGCCGCUUCUGACGGUAUCAUGGUUGCCCGUGGCGACCUCGGUAUCGAGAUCCCCCCUGAAAAGGUGUUCCUCGCACAGAAGACCAUGAUCGCCAGGUGCAACAGGGUGGGCAAGCCCGUGAUCUGCGCCACCCAGAUGCUGGAGUCCAUGGUGAAGAAGCCCCGCCCCACCCGCGCCGAGACCUCCGACGUCGCCAACGCCAUCCUAGAUGGCGCUGACUGCGUCAUGCUGUCCGGAGAGACUGCCAAGGGAGACUACCCUCUUGAGUGUGUGCUGACGAUGGCUAACAUCUCUAAGGAAGCUGAGGCUGCUAUUUGGCAUAAGCAGCUCUUCUCCGAGCUGGUUGCUCAGGUGUCAGCCCCGAUCGACCCCGCGCACUCCGUGGCCAUCGCGGCCGUGGAGGCGUCCACCAAGUGCCUCGCGUCCGCCAUCGUCGUCAUCACCACCAGCGGCCGCUCCGCGCACCUGCUCAGCAAGUACCGCCCGCGCUGUCCCAUCAUCGCCGUCACCAGGCAACCGCAGACCGCGAGGCAGGCGCAUCUGUACCGCGGCGUGCUGCCUAUUGUCUACCAGGGUGGGUGUAGCUAGAGUGUAGUGAGUGUCUCUGCUCAGCAAGUACCGCCCGCGCUGUCCCAUCAUCGCCGUCACCAGGCAACCGCAGACCGCGAGGCAGGCGCAUCUGUACCGCGGCGUGCUGCCUAUUGUCUACCAGGCCCCGGCGGCGAGCAACUGGCUGCAAGACGUGGACGACCGCGUGCAGACCGGCGUGAAGUUCGGCCGCGCGCGGGGCUUCAUCAACACCGGCGAC